rnacentral:misc_RNA from 1 species
UCCGGGUUGGUCCCGGCGGUCCCGCUAGACUUGGUAACUAGCGGCGGGGGUUGCGCUCGUUGCGGGACUUAACCCAACACCUCACGGCACGAGCUGACGACAGCCGUGCAGCACCUGUGCACGCUCCCUUGCGGGUCCCUUCCCUUUCGGGUCAGUACCACGUGCAUGUCAAGCCUGGGUAAGGUUCUUCGCGUUGCAUCGAAUUAAACCACACGCUCCGCUGCUUGUGCGGGCCCCCGUCAAUUCCUUUGAGUUUUAGCCUUGCGGCCGUAGUCCCCAGGCGGGGCACUUACUGCGUUAGCGACGGCACCGGGGGGGUCGAUACCCCCGACACCUAGUGCCCAUCGUUUACAGCGUGGACUAC